AUGGUAACUAUGUAAAAGGUGGCUAUGCUACCGCUUUUGGAUGGGCCCGCGGCGCAUUAGCUAGUUGGUGGGGUAAAGGCUUACCAAGGCAAUGAUGCGUAGCCGAACUGAGAGGUUGAUCGGCCACAUUGGGACUGAGACACGGCCCAAACUCCUACGGGAGGCAGCAGUAGGGAAUCUUCCACAAUGGGCGAAAGCCUGAUGGAGCAACGCCGCGUGGGUGAAGAAGGUCUUCGGAUCGUAAAACCCUGUUGUUAGAGAAGAAAGUGCGUGAGAGUAACUGUUCACGUUUCGACGGUAUCUAACCAGAAAGCCACGGCUAACUACGUGCCAGCAGCCGCGGUAAUACGUAGGUGGCAAGCGUUAUCCGGAUU
rnacentral:rRNA from 1 species